CUUCUUAAUUUUUGAGAAAACAUGGGAAGGGCCUGCUGAAGACAAAAAACUGUUGACCCGCAUCCUGUGUGUCCUGGAUGACCAGAGCUGGACUGGGCACGAAACCCCAUCACCAUGGCAACAGCAUUACCUGCCUGGGUUGUGACAUGACACCAUAUUGGGCCAGGGUGGCAGAUGUCAGGGAGGGGUGCUGUGCCUCAGAAAGGUGCUACCAUCUGUCUGAAGACAUCCCUCUUCUCAGGACAGCAAAGAGCUCAUCACACCCCUGCCACUUCAGACGAGCCCUCCAUUGCUCAGUGCAGGAGAAAAUAUGAACGACUAUCAUUUAUCAAAAACCUACUGGAUGUCAGACAUUGUGCAAAUUUCUCUUUUCGGAUUCAUAUUACAUUUCUGUGAGGUGAUACUCACUGGCUACCUGCUGCAUGCCAUUGUGCUAGAUGAUGAAGAUAAAAGGACGGAUUAGAUCAACCCAGCCCUGUUCUGAUGGCGUUUGUAAAUUAAACUGAUUCUCAAGUA